CCUACGGGAGGCAGCAGUGGGGAAUAUUGCACAAUGGGCGCAAGCCUGAUGCAGCAACGCCGCGUGAGCGAAGAAGGUCUUCGGAUCGUAAAGCUCUGUCCUUAGGGAAGAAACAAAUGACGGUACCUGAGGAGGAAGCCCCGGCUAACUACGUGCCAGCAGCCGCGGUAAU
rnacentral:rRNA from 1 species